UACAGAGGGGGCUAGCGUUGUUCGGAAUUACUGGGCGUAAAGGGCGCGUAGGUGGCCUGUUAAGUCGAACGUGAAAUCCCCGGGCUCAACCCGGGAACUGCGUCCGAGACUGGCAGGCUCGAAUCCGGGAGAGGGAUGUGGAAUUCCAGGUGUAGAGGUGAAAUUCGUAGAUAUUCGGAAGAACACCAGUGGCGAAGGCGACUUACUGGACGAUUGUUGACGCUGAGGUGCGAAAGCGUGGGGAGCAAACAGG
rnacentral:rRNA from 1 species